GCCUCAUUAGCUAAGUGGAUAUAGCGUCUGACUUCUAAUCAGAAGGUCGUGGGUUCGACCCCCUCAUGAGGCA
rfam:Monoraphidium neglectum strain SAG 48.87 unplaced genomic scaffold scaffold01613, whole genome shotgun sequence.